UAGUCCACGCCGUAAACGAUGUCGACUUGGAGGUUGUUCCCUUGAGGAGUGGCUUCCGGAGCUAACGCAUUAAGUCGACCGCCUGGGGAGUACGGCCGCAAGGUUAAAACUCAAAUGAAUUGACGGGGGCCCGCACAAGCGGUGGAGCAUGUGGUUUAAUUCGAUGCAACGCGAAGAACCUUACCUACUCUUGACAUCCAGAGAACUUAGCAGAGAUGCUUUGGUGCCUUCGGGAACUCUGAGACAGGUGCUGCAUGGUUGUCGUCAGCUCGUGUUGUGAAAUGUUGGGUUAAGUCCCGCAACGAGCGCAACCCUUAUCCUUUGUUGCCAGCGGUUAGGCCGGGAACUCAAAGGAGACUGCCAGUGAUAAACUGGAGGAAGGUGGGGAUGACGUCAAGUCAUCAUGGCCCUUACGAGUAGGGCUACACACGUGCUACAAUGGCGCAUACAAAGAGAAGCGACCUCGCGAGAGCAAGCGGACCUCAUAAAGUGCGUCGUAGUCCGGAUUGGAGUCUGCAACUCGACUCCAUGAAGUCGGAAUCGCUAGUAAUCGUAGAUCAGAAUGCUACGGUGAAUACGUUCCCGGGCCUUGUACACACCGCCCGUCACACCAUGGGAGUGGGUUGCAAAAGAAGUAGGUAGCUUAACCUUCGGGAGGGCGCUUACCACUUUGUGAUUCAUGACUGGGG
rnacentral:rRNA from 1 species